GACGAACGCUGGCGGCGCGCUUAACACAUGCAAGUCGAACGGAAAGGCCUGCUUUCCCUUGUGGAUUGCGGGUACUCGAGUGGCGAACGGGUGAGUAACACGUGAGUGAUCUGCCCCCAACUUGGGUAUAAGCCUGGGAAACUGGGUCUAAUUCCGGUAGGACCGCAGGGUGGUGGCUGUGGUUGGAAAAGGAUUUCUUGGGGGUGGGGAUGGGCCUGCGGGCUAUCAGGCUGUUGGUGGGGUAAUGGCCUACCAAGGCGGCGACGGGUAGCCGGCCCGAGAGGGUGGACGGCCACAUUGGGACUGAGAUACGGCCCAGACUCCUACGGGAGGCAGCAGUGGGGAAUAUUGCACAAUGGGCGGAAGCCUGAUGCAGCGACGCCGCGUGGGGGAUGACGGCCUUCGGGUUGUAAACUCCUUUCGACCGCGAGGAAGCCACCUGGUUGGAAGGGUGGUGACGGUAGUGGUAGAAGAAGCACCGGCUAACUACGUG
rnacentral:rRNA from 1 species